GUCCUGGCCCUAAACGGUGUUCACUUGGUGUGCGGGGAGUCGACCCCCUGCGUGCCGCAGCUAACGCGAUAAGUGAACCGCCUGGGAAGUACGGCCGCAAGGCUAAAACUCAAAGAAAUUGACGGGGGCCCGCACAAGCGGUGGAGCAUGUGGCUUAAUUCGAUGCAACGCGAAGAACCUUACCUGGCCUUGACAUGCUGGUGGUAGAACCCAGAAACGGGGACGACUCCUCGCAAGAGGAGAGCCAGCACAGGUGCUGCAUGGUUGUCGU
rnacentral:rRNA from 1 species